UUGAACGUUGGCGGCACGCCUAAUACAUGCAAGUCGAACGAGAAAGCACUUCGGUGUGAGUACAGUGGCGGACGGGUGAGUAACGCGUAGGAAUCUACCUAGUAGUGGGGGACAACUCGAGGAAACUCGAGCUAAUACCGCAUACGACCUAAGGGUGAAAGUGGGGGGUCUUCGGACCUCACGCUAUUAGAGGAGCCUGCGUUAGAUUAGCUUGUUGGUGAGGUAAAGGCUCACCAAGGCUACGAUCUAUAGCUGGUCUGAGAGGACGAUCAGCCACACUGGAACUGAGACACGGCCCAAACUCCUACGGGAGGCAGCAGUGGGGAAUCUUGC
rnacentral:rRNA from 1 species